UCAGCUCUUGAAUUCUGAAA
rnacentral:snRNA from 1 species